GGCCCCGUGGCGGAACCGGUAGACGCAACGGACUUAAAAUCCGUAGCUCGAAAGGGCGUGUCCGUUCGAGUCGGACCGGGGCCACCA
rnacentral:tRNA from 1 species